GUAAGAACCUGGGCUCGCCAGCCCUAACGGUAUGAACCCAGGUUCCAGGUUUAUGCUUCCAAGGAUUCCAGAACUCUUCGCAGCUCUCCACCCGGGAAGCGGCCAGACUGCUUCCCCCAUCCCUAGCCUGUCCGCCUGUCUGUCCAUUCACCUUGUGUAGCCCUCUGAGGCUCUGCUCACCUGUCCACCUAUAGGUUGUCUCUUUGCCUGAAGACUCUGCUCUUACCUGGAAGUCUGUGCCAAGGGUGAGUGAGACCCUGAGGAUAAAGAGCAAAGGGUGGAGAUGAAGGGACAGCUGAUAACUGGGAAGCGGAGGGAUCUGAGAGUGAUGGUGGAGAGGGGGCUGCUUCUCUGCAACCAGGACCUGUUGAAGGCUUUUGGCCAAAGUCCCUGCUAAUGCCGUUCUGUGCCCUUAGAGGGACAGAGCCAGGUGGGAAUGCAGCCAGCCAGGUCCCAGAAAGAUGUUAUCAACCUGGUCCUCCAAUACUGGCAAGGUGUGCUCCAGUGGCUUGUGCCUCAAGGGUCCAGAGGGGAGAUCUGCUUGGAGUUCAAAUUACUGCUACUAAUGAUCAUCAUGUCUAAUGUGCAAGUAAUGCCUCAGAGUUCUAAAAACACUGUGACUGUUCUGGAAGGAUGAUGUCACUCAAGAUAUGAAGACCUAGAAGAUAGAGCACAUGCCCAGGCUCCAUGCCUCAGGGACCAGCAUGAGGGAUGGGUAGACAGCCUUUUCCACCAAAACCACCACGCCCAGGUGUGUGAGGCCUGUGAUCUGUCCACACUGCCCAUGACCGGUAGACAGAACAAUUGGGAAGGGAAGGAGUGUCAGGGCACCAGGUAGGAGCUGUCUGAAGUCCAGUAAAUAGAAUGAAGAGAGCACCUGUCUGAUUCCAGCCAGAAGCAAUCCCAUGAUACCUUGGUGAUGUCUGCAGAGGGAGGGGAUUGGGAUGCUUGGCUACUAAUUGAUAUCCCUGGCUUAAUCUUUGUCUUCUAGGGACAAGUGCAAAGAGGAACUCUGUUGUUCCCUAAGGUGAGACUCCCUCAGGGAUUUUGAAAUUCCUCAUUUGGAUCCCAUCUCUUCUCCUCUGGGCCUUCUCACCAUUUUCUCUUCACCUUUGACUUCUGCCUUCCUUCCCGUCAGAGCCCAGUGACCAAGGUGAACAGGGAACAAUGCUUGAACUCUGAAAUGGUUUCAGAGGUCCCGAACCAAGAGAUGACCAACCAUGGCAAGGCCCCACUGCAGGUGAGGACCUGGCUUGUCCAGGAAGGCUGAGCCCACCCAGGGCCUGUUUAUAGAGGGAUGCAGGGUGAAGGAGGGCAUACACAUUGGUUGAUAAAUAAAUGACAAUACUUCACUGAGGCUGAUGGAGAA
rnacentral:lncRNA from 1 species